AGCUCAGUGGUAGAGCGUGUGGUUAGCAUGCACGACGUCCUGGGUUCAAUCCCCAG
rnacentral:tRNA from 1 species